CCUACGGGUGGCUGCAGUGGGGAAUAUUGGACAAUGGGCGAAAGCCUGAUCCAGCCAUGCCGCGUGUGUGAAGAAGGCCUUCGGGUGGUAAAGCACUUUCAGUGGGGAAGAAAGCCUUGGGGCUAAUACCCUCGAGGAAGGACAUCACCCACAGAAGAAGCACCGGCUAACUCCGUGCCAGCAGCCGCGGUAAUACGGAGGGUGCGAGCGUUAAUCGGAAUUACUGGGCGUAAAGCGCGCGUAGGCGGUCUGAUAAGCCGGUUGUGAAAGCCCCGGGCGCAACCUGGGAACGGCAUCCGGAACUGUCAGGCUAGAGUGCAGGAGAGGAAGGUAGAAUUCCCGGUGUAGCGGUGAAAUGCGUAGAGAUCGGGAGGAAUACCAGUGGCGAAGGCGGCCUUCUGGACUGACACUGACGCUGAGGUGCGAAAGCGUGGGUAGCAAACAGGAUUAGAUACCCGAGUAGUC
rnacentral:rRNA from 1 species